CCUACGGGUGGCAGCAGUGAGGAAUAUUGGUCAAUGGACGAGAGUCUGAACCAGCCAAGUAGCGUGAAGGAUGACUGCCCUAUGGGUUGUAAACUUCUUUUAUAUGGGAGUAAAAUGUUCCACGUGUGGGAUUUUGUAUGUACCAUAUGAAUAAGGAUCGGCUAACUCCGUGCCAGCAGCCGCCGUAAUACCGAGGAUCCGAGCGUUAUCCGGAUUUAUUGGGUUUAAAGGGAGAGUAGGUGGAUUGUUAAGUCAGUUGUGAAAGUUUGCGGCUCAACCGUAAAAUUGCAGUUGAAACUGGCAGUCUUGAGUACAGUAGAGGUGGGCGGAAUUCGUGGUGUAGCGGUGAAAUGCUUAGAUAUCACGAAGAACUCCGAUUGCGAAGGCAGUUCACUGGACUGCAACUGACACUGAGGCUCGAAAGUGUGGGUAUCAAACAGGAUUAGAUACCCGAGUAGUC
rnacentral:rRNA from 1 species